UACGUAGGGUGCGAGCGUUUGUCCGGAAUUAUUGGGCGUAAAGAGCUCGUAGGCGGUGUGUCACGUCGGCCGUGAAAACCUGCAGCUUAACUGUGGGCGUGCGGUCGAUACGGGCAUCACUGGAGUUCGGCAGGGGAGACUGGAAUUCCUGGUGUAGCGGUGAAAUGCGCAGAUAUCAGGAGGAACACCGGUGGCGAAGGCGGGUCUCUGGGCAGUAACUGACGCUGAGGAGCGAAAGCGUGGGUAGCAAACAGG
rnacentral:rRNA from 1 species